UGCGUAGGCGGUCCGGAAAGUUGGGUGUGAAAUCCCUCGGCUUAACCGAGGAAUGGCGCUCAAAACUGUCGGACUAGAGGAAGGCAGAGGUGAGCGGAACUUGCGGUGGAGCGGUGAAUGCGUUGAUAUCGCAAGGAACACCAGUAGCGAAAGCGGCUCACUGGGCCUUUUCUGACGCUCAGGCACGAAAGCUAGGGGAGCGAACG
rnacentral:rRNA from 1 species